rnacentral:lncRNA from 1 species
GGUGUGGGCAGGGAGAAAGCAGACCGUAAUCUCCCUCCUCCUCAAAUGAUUAGGCGAGAAGAAGAGAAGAAGGAGAAAUCACCUGGCUUCGGGCUUCACCCAAAGCGACAAGUGAGGUCUGUUUUCUGCACCCAACCCUUGGGGGGAAUAUCUGUCUUUUGGCAACAGGGGUGGCGUUUGGCCCCUUCAGGCCAGCCAGAGGCCCACCUGAGCAAGCAGGAAGCAGCCAGCAGGAGCGUGGUGUGGGCUUAAGAAGGAGUGCGUGUCCGGUGGGAUGUCCAGCGCUUCCCUCACGAUUCCUUCCAACGACGCCAGAAGGCGAAGGUCAUCAACCCCAUUCUAAACACUGGGAAGCUGGGGGCUCGGAGGGGACAGUUCGCUGCCCAGGAUGCCCCCGUGUGGGGUGUGUGUGGGACCUGCGGGGCAGAGGAGAGCCCCGGGCACGUGGGAGUUGGCGGUGGAGAAUCAGCCAGGGCUGGGGCCUCCUGGCAUGGGUGGGUGUGGGCGACUGAGUGAGAAGGAGGGCUCCCUAUGUCCCAGCAG